rnacentral:rRNA from 1 species
CCUACGGGAGGCUGCAGUGAGGAAUAUUGGGCAAUGGGCGGGAGCCGGAACCAGCCAAGUCGCGUGAGGGAAGACGGUCCGAUGGAGUGUAAACCGCUGUAGGCGGGGAGCAAGGCCGGGCACGUGUGCCCGGAGGGAGAGGACCCGCAGAAGAAGCAGCGGCGAACUCCGUGCCAGCAGCCGCGGUAAUACGGAGGAUGCGAGCGUUAUCCGGAUUGAUUGGGUGUAAAGGGUGCGUAGGCGGAUUUUUAAGUCAGCGGUAAAAUGUCCGGGCUCAACCCGGGCCGGCCGUUGAAACUGGGGAUCUUGCGUGGGCGAGACGUAUGCGGCAUGCGUGUUGUCGCGG